rnacentral:rRNA from 1 species
GACGAACGCUGGCGGCGUGCUUAACACAUGCAAGUCGAACGGAAAGGCCCUGCUUUUGUGGGGUGCUCGAGUGGCGAACGGGUGAGUAACACGUGAGUAACCUGCCCUUGACUUUGGGAUAACUUCAGGAAACUGGGGCUAAUACCGGAUAGGAGCUCCUGCUGCAUGGUGGGGGUUGGAAAGUUUCGGCGGUUGGUGAUGGACUCGCGGCUUAUCAGCUUGUUGGUGGGGUAGUGGCUUACCAAGGCUUUGACGGGUAGCCGGCCUGAGAGGGUGACCGGCCACAUUGGGACUGAGAUACGGCCCAGACUCCUACGGGAGGCAGCAGUGGGGAAUAUUGCACAAUGGGCGGAAGCCUGAUGCAGCAACGCCGCGUGCGGGAUGACAGCCUUCGGGUUGUAAACCGCUUUCGCCUGUGACGAAGCGUGAGUGACGGUAAUGGGUAAAGAAGCACCGGCUAACUACGUG